CACGUAGGGCGCAAGCGUUGUCCGGAAUUAUUGGGCGUAAAGAGCUCGUAGGCGGUCUGUUGCGUCCGCUGUGAAAACUCGGGGCUUAACCCCGAGCCUGCAGUGGAUACGGGCAGACUUGAGUUCGGUAGGGGAGACUGGAAUUCCUGGUGUAGCGGUGAAAUGCGCAGAUAUCAGGAGGAACGACCGGUGGCGAAGGCGGGUCUCUGGACAGUUCCUGACGCUGAGGCACGAAGGUCAGGGGAGCAAACGGG
rnacentral:rRNA from 1 species